AUUGAACGCUGGCGGCAUGCCUUACACAUGCAAGUCGAACGGCAGCACGGGUGCUUGCACCUGGUGGCGAGUGGCGAACGGGUGAGUAAUACAUCGGAACAUGUCCUGUAGUGGGGGAUAGCCCGGCGAAAGCCGGAUUAAUACCGCAUACGAUCUACGGAUGAAAGCGGGGGACCUUCGGGCCUCGCGCUAUACGGUUGGCCGAUGGCUGAUUAGCUAGUUGGUGGGGUAAAGGCCUACCAAGGCGACGAUCAGUAGCUGGUCUGAGAGGACGACCAGCCACACUGGGACUGAGACACGGCCCAGACUCCUACGGGAGGCAGCAGUGGGGAAUUUUGGACAAUGGGCGAAAGCCUGAUCCAGCAAUGCCGCGUGUGUGAAGAAGGCCUUCGGGUUGUAAAGCACUUUUGUCCGGAAAGAAAUCCUUGGCCCUAAUACGGUCGGGGGAUGACGGUACCGGAAGAAUAAGCACCGGCUAACUACGUG
rnacentral:rRNA from 1 species